UACAGAGGUCUCAAGCGUUGUUCGGAUUCAUUGGGCGUAAAGGGUGUGUAGGUGGCGCGCUAAGUCGGGUGUGAAAUUUCGGAGCUUAACUCCGAAACUGCAUUCGAUACUGGCGUGCUUGAGGACUGGAGAGGAGACUGGAAUUCAUGGUGUAGCAGUGAAAUGCGUAGAGAUCCGGAGGAACACCAGUGGCGAAGGCGACACGCUGGGCCGGAACUGACGCUGAGGUGCGAAAGCGUGGGGAGCAAACAGG
rnacentral:rRNA from 1 species